rnacentral:rRNA from 1 species
GACGAACGCUGGCGGCGUGCCUAAUACAUGCAAGUAGAACGCUGAAGAGAGGAGCUUGCUCUUCUUGGAUGAGUUGCGAACGGGUGAGUAACGCGUAGGUAACCUGCCUUGUAGCGGGGGAUAACUAUUGGAAACGAUAGCUAAUACCGCAUAACAAUGGAUGACACAUGUCAUUUAUUUGAAAGGGGCAAUUGCUCCACUACAAGAUGGACCUGCGUUGUAUUAGCUAGUAGGUGAGGUAAUGGCUCACCUAGGCGACGAUACAUAGCCGACCUGAGAGGGUGAUCGGCCACACUGGGACUGAGACACGGCCCAGACUCCUACGGGAGGCAGCAGUAGGGAAUCUUUGGCAAUGGGGGCAACCCUGACCGAGCAACGCCGCGUGAGUGAAGAAGGUUUUCGGAUCGUAAAGCUCUGUUGUAAGUCAAGAACGGGUGUGAGAGUGGAAAGUUCACACUGUGACGGUAGCUUACCAGAAAGGGACGGCUAACUACGUG